rnacentral:rRNA from 1 species
CAACAGGGAUUGCCCUAGUAACGGCGAGUGAAGCGGCAACAGCUCAAAUUUGAAAUCUGGCCCUCGCGGUCCGAGUUGUAAUUUGUAGAGGAUGCUUUGGGCGCGGCGCCUUCCAAGUUCCCUAGAACGGGACGCCUUAGAGGGUGAGAGCCCCGUACGGUUGGACGCCUAGCCUAUGUAUAGCUCCUUCGACGAGUCGAGUAGUUUGGGAAUGCUGCUCUAAAUGGGAGGUAAAUUUCUUCUAAAGCUAAAUACCGGCCAGAGACCGAUAGCGCACAAGUAGAGUGAUCGAAAGAUGAAAAGUACUUUGAAAAGAGGGUUAAAUAGCACGUGAAAUUGUUGAAAGGGAAGCGUUUGCGACCAGACCUUUUCCAGGCGGAUCAUCCGGCGUUCUCGCCGGUGCACUUCGCCUGGUUUAGGCCAGCAUCGGUUUUCCCAGGGGGAUAAAGGCGGCGGGAACGUGGCUCUCUCGGGAGUGUUAUAGCCCGCCGCGUAAUACCCUUGGGGGGACCGAGGACCGCGCUUCGGCAAGGAUGCUGGCGUAAUGGUCGUCAACGACCCGUCUUGAAACACGGACCAAGGAGUCGAACAUUUGUGCGAGUGUUUGGGUGUUAAACCCUCACGCGUAAUGAAAGUGAACGGAGGUGAGAGCCCCUCGCGGGUGCAUCAUCGACCGAUCCUGAUGUCUUCGGAUGGAUUUGAGUAAGAGCAUAACUGUUCGGACCCGAAAGAUGGUGAACUAUGCGUGGAUAGGGUGAAGCCAGAGGAAACUCUGGUGGAGGCUCGCAGCGGUUCUGACGUGCAAAUCGAUCGUCAAAUCUGCGCAUGGGGGCG